rnacentral:rRNA from 1 species
UGGGGAAUAUUGGACAAUGGGCGCAAGCCUGAUCCAGCCAUGCCGCGUGAGUGAUGAAGGCCCUAGGGUUGUAAAGCUCUUUCGCCAGGGACGAUAAUGACGGUACCUGGAUAAGAAGCCCCGGCUAACUUCGUGCCAGCAGCCGCGGUAAUACGAAGGGGGCUAGCGUUGUUCGGAAUCACUGGGCGUAAAGCGCACGUAGGCGGAUCUUUAAGUCAGGGGUGAAAUCCCGAGGCUCAACCUCGGAACUGCCUUUGAUACUGGAGGUCUCGAGUCCGGGAGAGGUGAGUGGAACUGCGAGUGUAGAGGUGAAAUUCGUAGAUAUUCGCAAGAACACCAGUGGCGAAGGCGGCUCACUGGCCCGGUACUGACGCUGAGGUGCGAAAGCGUGGGGAGCAGACAGGAUUAGAUACCCUGGUAGUCCACGCCGUAAACUAUGGAUGCUAGCCGUUGGGCAGCUUGCUGUUCAGUGGCGCAGCUAACGCUUUAAGCAUCCCGCCUGGGGAGUACGGUCGCAAGAUUAAAACUCAAAUGAAUUGAC